rnacentral:tRNA from 1 species
GCCUUCAUGGUGUAAUGCUAAACUCGUACACUCGACCCGUAUUCGAGAGAUCCUUGGUUCGAGUCCCAGCGAGGGCA